AUUGAACGCUGGCGGCAGGCCUAACACAUGCAAGUCGAGCGGAGCGGCGGACGGGUGCGUGAUGCCUAGUAAUCUGCCUGGUCGUGGGGGAGAACGUCCAGUAACGGGAGCUAAUUCCGCAUCCUUUCACCUUAGUCUGUGUCGGAUUAGCUAGUUGGUGGGGUAAAGGCCUACCAAGGCGCCGAUCCGUAACUGGUCUGAGAGGAUGAUCAGUCACACUGGAACUGAGACACGGUCCAGACUCCUACGGGAGGCAGCAGUGGGGAAUAUUGGACAAUGGGCGAAAGCCUGAUCCAGCCAUGCCGCGUGUGUGAAGAAGGUCUUCGGAUUGUAAAGCACUUUAAGUUGGGAGGCGUUACCAACAGAAAAAGCACCGGCUAACUUCGUGCCAGCAGCCGCGGUAAUAC
rnacentral:rRNA from 1 species